UCGGUAAAAGUCCAACGUUCAAGUUGUAUGUAAGAUGUCGCAGAAAAAUCCGGUGUAAAAAUUUGUUUUUCAAAAUUUGGUUUGUAACCCACAUUAGUAAACACGAGCGCCUCUACUCCCAAGCAGUUUUCAAAAUCAUUGCAAGCAGUGCAGGCACCACAAUAUACGUUGCAUUCACGCAACAACAUCUGUGUACCCGAGCAAUAUGUCGCAUCAUCCACACGUUCUUACCGAGGCAGCUGCCCUCCUCCUAAUAAACGGCUUGGAUGCCACCGGCAGUGCCACGCCUCCCAGCGCCCAGCCGUCUCCCGCAGCGGCAGCGGAAGUCAACUGCUUGCCGGAAAUCGUUGCAUCGGCUCAUCGGAUGGUCAGUGGCACGCCCACCGCCUCCAUGGCCGCCCUGGAAAUAUCAUCAGCUCGACAGAGGAUGCUGCCUCUGAUAACGCGAAGUCCCUUGGAGGAGAGCCUCCAUUCGGCGAACGAGAAUGGCAACUCGUGCCGCAUCUGCCGCUGGAAUCGCAGCGACAUGGAGAUCAUCAAGUGUCCGUGCAACUGCAAGGGCAGCGUGGGCUACAUCCACCUGAAGUGCCUGAAGCGCUGGAUUAUGCACAGAAGGGAUAAUCGCUGUGAGGUCUGCAAUGCAGUCUUUGACAUCUCGGAGGAGCGGGUCAGUCUGAAGCAGAUGAUCCGAACCUUCUGCUGCGGCCGUUGUUGCGGCCUGAUUGUGAAGCACCUGCUAUUUAGCGCCUCGCUGAUGCCACUAGCCCAUAUCAUAUUGCAGCAGGUGCUGCAGUGCAUGGAUACUAUGAAUCAGGGCAGCAACGAGCAGCUUACCGUCCAGGAGGUGUUUGUCGCCUCCUGCGCCCUGCUGACCUCCAGUGCCCUGUUCUUCCACUUCUUUGAGUUCGUCACCACACGGUUCCUGCUCAUCCGGAACAUUCUGCGCCACUGGUGGAUGUUUGGCAGCACCUCCGACUUUGCCCUGGUGGAGAUCGAGGAUGAGUCCAUCGAUUUUUUUGAUGACUAGGCUGAUGAUAAGGGUUGAAGUAACAAGUAUGAUGAUUGGAAGGCAGUGCCGUCCUAGUAUCAGAAUUUUUAAAAUACGCUGCCGGAAACCGCCAAAAUAUUUACAUCAGUUUUAGUAUUAUAUUGCACAUGGUAUAUUUCCCGAAUCGCGGGUGCUCAGCCUACACACUAUGCAUAAUUACAAAAUCAAAUUUUAUUUGCAA